UGUCUUGGCCACACACACACUA
rnacentral:piRNA from 1 species